CAGGAAGCACUCCAUGUAAACCUACUGUUUAAUUGGAUAUUGUACUCAAAGGUGCUUCUCUAAAUGAGCCAGUGAAAACCCAAGUGGGCGUUGGAUAAUACUUAACAGAUAGGGUUGCAUAGUUUCAGUGUAACGGUGCCUCUGUGGGUUACAGCACCAUGGUCAAAACUGGAAAAAUAGUUUCUUAGAAACGAAUAAAGGCAAACUAUGGGAAAAUGGUCAUGGAAGGCUCUCUCACUAAGAAGAAGAAAACUCAGAAUGUCUUGUUAUUAGCAACAUAGAUCUCCAACUAAAGGGCUUACUCAUCCCUGCACUUGUGAUGUCUGCAUGGAGAUGAAACAGAGAUUCAAAAGGGUCAGGUCACUGGCUCCAGGUCAACUCUACUACUAAACAGAAAAGCAAGGACCAAAAUUCAGAUCUUUGUGACCCUCAAUGCCACUAUGCCAUGCGAUGAUGCCUGCCUCUUUUAGAGGCCAACUAAUAGGCCAACUUGAUUUUCUUGAGGAAUGGCCGAAUGGAAGUUGAAUGGUUGAAGGUGACUGGCAAACAGAGAAACAAGGCACCAAGAACUGGCUAUUUCCAAACGUGGGCAAUCAGCUUCUGAAUGAAUAGUUCAGAAUGAUGCAGCUCUGGAUGUUGGAAAGGACAAUUCCGGCGUUUUACUCUUCUGACCAGUUUCUUCGUUUUCAUAACUCUACUUGAAGAACAUAUGAUGUUUGCCAGUGUCUGACAUUACGGACCUCACAGCUUACUGAAUCUGAAAACAGGAGAUAGAGAUGGAAAGGAAAGCCUCAGGAACUUGUUGCAAUAGGGACUGCCAGGUCCCGUUGCACUAUUGGUGGAAGAGAGGUCCACACGGUGCCUACGAUAAGCGAUUUGUUCGUAUCUAUCCAGACUGCAGGUGCAUACAGCCACUCAUCCUCAAAUGCCAUCCUCAGGAGUUUAUGCUGCACACAGACUGGCACAUGUGCAGGAAGACAUAGUGCAGGGCUACGUGCUACAACAUUGUUGGUGACAGCAACAUAUUGGAAGCAACCUGAAUUUUUGUUAAUAGAGGAUUGGCUACAUAAAUGAUGCUAAUCUAUACAACUGGAGUACUAUGAUGCCAUAAAAAAGAAUGUACAAGGUCUUUACGUUUGGAAAGAUCUCUAAGAUAUAAUGAUUUUCUUUGCCUCUCAAGGGAGCUGGGAGAAACUCAAGUCUGAAACUCAAACUCAUCUCAGUCAUUCCUUUCCCUUCAACUAGACCUGAACCUCAGGAGAUCUGGAGUAUGUGCUGAAUUCUACUGGGAACUGAGCCCUCUGAAUAUUAUUAUUGUUUUGCUAAUACUUUUUGCUGGAAAGUACAUCAAACCAGGAUGUGUUGUACCUCUUGCUUUGCCAGACUAUUUAAAAGCAAAAGUGACCAGAUAUCCAACUUAAGGCUGAUCCAGGUUUUUCAUGAUCUAGCCAGGGGAGACAAACCUUCCAGGAAAGUCUCUAGCGAAGGCCAAGGAUUUUAGAAAGUAUCUGUGAACAAAGAAAUGCAAUGUUAGUGGGCUAAUUUCCAUAAUCAAAUGAAGCUGAUGCAAGUGCUUUGUGAAUUGAUGCCCAUCAACGAGAGACUGGAUAAAGAAAAUGUGGCACAUAUACGCCAUGGAAUACUAUGUAGCCGUAAAAAUGAACAAGUUCAUGUCCUUUACAGGGACAUGGAUGAAGCUGGAAAUCAUCAUCCUCAGCCAAUUAACCCAGGAACAGAAAACCAAACACCACAUGUUCUCACUCAUAAGUGGGAGCUGAACAAUAAGAACACGUGAACACAGGGAGGGAAACAUCACAUAGCAGGGCCUGUUGGUGGGCCGGGGGCAAGGGAAGGGAGAGCAUUAGGACAAAUAUCUAAUGCAUGCGGGGCUUAAAACCUAGAUGACGGGUUGAUAGGUGCAGCAAACCACCAUGGCACACGUAUACCUGUGUAACAAACCUGCACAUUCUGCACAUGUAUCCCAGAACUUAAAAAAAAAAAGAAAUGCUUUGUGAAUUAGUCAGGUUCACUGAUGGGAGCUUUGGUCCUGGCACCUGAGGACUGAGCUGGGGGAACCCACACCCAGGCUGCCCAAACACACAGAGGCAGGAGAGGUCAAGGGGCAUCUCGUGGGUGUGGAGUUUUGGACACGGUAUUGCCAUUGUCAGACAUGUGGCUAAGCCUGCAAGGAUGAGAGAGGAAGGAGGAAACCAGCUCCUCUCAACCCUGCAUCAGCCUGAGUGCUUUCAAUCUCUCUCAACCCUUCUCCUCUCUUUUCUCUUUUCUCCUUCCCUCCUUCCCUGAUGGUUUGCCAGGAAGCACAGAAUAAUGGAGUUCAGUGUUACUCAAGGGGCAGUCACCUGCACAGUCAUUACCGGAAUGACGUGUUUCAUCAGAUGUUUCAAAUCCCGAUUCUUGGGGCCUGCUCUAAACCUGCCUACCAAGGCUCUAGGGGCGAGGCCUGGGGACCUGCAUUGUUUGCAAACACCCACAGGUGAUUCUUACAUGCACGAAGCCAGGGAAGCAUUGAUAGAAAAGGUCUUAGACCAGCAGCCAAAAAACCCAAGUUCAAAUCCAUUUACUACCUGGGUGGUCUUGGGCAAGUUACUUAUUAAUUCCCGGCAUGGGAGUCAAUACUACUUUAUAGGAAUUUUUUAUAAGUUAUAGGAGAUACGCUGUUAUGUUAUAGGAGUUAUUUUUUUCUCUUUGAAGAUUAAAAGAGACAAAACAUAUGACAAGGCUGGCAAACAUUGAGCUCUUGCUACAUAGUAGUACACAGUGCCCUAGAGAGUUAGCAAAGGGACGGUGAGCUCACAAAAAUCUUUGUAGGCCUCAGGAUAUAUAUAUUUUGCAGUGACUUUCAAGGCUGAUCUAACUCUCUUUGGAUGAACACAGAGCAAGGAGACUUGCCCACUGAGUGACUUUACUAUACCCCCAGGCCUUACUAACUUGCCCAGGAGUGGGGAAUAUAGUGCUAGAAGGAAGCCAAAGCAAUAAAGAGACACUUUCAGAAAAGCAGGCACUGCAAAGACAACCAUUCCAGCUGGAAGAGCAUGUGGUGGGAGUGGCGUCCUCUCAGACAUGAUCCUCUGCAGGGCUCAUGGGCUCAAAGUCACAGGUUCUCACCAAGGGUGAUGAUUUCCCACAGGGAGCAUCUAGCAACGUCUGGAGACAUUUUUGUCACAGGGUAGGGAAAGGGGGUUGCUACUAGCAUGCAGUGAACAGAGGCCAGAGAGGCUGCUAAACAUCCUACGGUACACUGGACAGUCUUCCACAACAGAAAACUGUCUGGCCCCAAAUGUUCAUGGUUUCAAGGCUGAAAAACACUGCUCUAAGCUAAUGCAGAAGACUUAGUCAUGGGUGAUAGAAGGAGGCCCCUAGGUGGCUACAAACCUCUGAGGGACAGCCUUCCGCUGUGGUGUUGCAAAGUCUCCCAGUUGCACAAGGUCCUGGCGUCCUGCUCAUUGGUGGAUCACCAUUAACCACCUUGCACGUCACAUGUUCAACAUAGCUAGUUUCCCACCCAUUCUUAACGAUGAUAAAUCAGGAAAAGCAUUCUUAGAACACUAGAAAAGCAGAAGUGUGGCUCUCUACAGGGCAGCGGGGAGGUUGCCUCACUCCUAGAAGAUGUCUUGUUUUUACCAAGAGGGUAGAGGGAUGAGAGGAGCUGGAAGACCACGCUGAGGAGCCACGUCCAGACACAUGAAACGAACCUCACAGCCCCACAAGGAUGCCGGGGAGGGCACUCAGUGCUUGGGAUCAGAGCCACGUGGCCACUGGUUUCCGAUGCCCCUUUGCUAGUAUCUGGCUUCCGUGAUUCCCUUGCCUUCAUUUUGUGGCUCUCUCCUGACACUGCCGGCUGAGUGUCUUAGUUAACCAGUAAUCUGGCUUUUCUCCCUCCACUUUGAUCUUCCUGUCUCUGCCUGUCUCCUCUUUCCUGGCAUGGCAUGUGCUCUCGGGCUGUACCUCUGGUAGUGAAUCUCUGGCUGCCCUGGACUCCUGCUGUGCACACUGCCCUGUGUGCAGGUCUGGAUGCCUGGUGUUCCUUCUCAGUGCACCGCCCGAUCCCCUGGGAUCUCUUCACCAUUUUCAUGCAUGGUGCCACCCCACGUGCAGGGCCAGCUUCAUGGCACGUCACCUGUGUGCUUGCAUAGGACUUGGUGCUCAGAAGGACUUCUUGAUGGGUUUCAUGCUCUGCGGCCACCGUAUUAAAAUUGUAAUAAUUUCCUCUUGAAACUUGUAUUUUGUAAGUGACUUCUGAUGAGACAGCAUGGAAUGAGCAGAAACACAGGAGAUACGUGUGCCUGUCCUUUCUUGUCACCCUAUUCACAUGGAGCAUUCGCCAUGAACUCAGAAUUCUGGUGUAUUCACAAUGUGUGGGAGUUCAUGAAGCUUCUAAGUGACUCCCAAGUGUGUUUUGUCUAUGAUGAGUUAGCUGGGGAGGGGGAGGGACACUGACAGCCCUGAGAGGCCACACUUUCCAUUUGAAAACCAAAACUUGCUUCAAACACAAAGGCAGCAGUGGUAUUCUAAGAAACACAUAUGACCAAGGAAACUUGGUUUGACCUUUCUUACUCAUGUUACUUCUUUGCAUUUGCAAACAACUUAAACUGAAAAUGAAGACACAGAAAGAAAUAGAAAGAUAAGGCAACCCAUAGGCCUUUUUUAAAUUCUUCCUUACUUGUCAGUAAGCCAAAGGUAGAGAGCAUUGAUAGAACGUGCAUGUAUCAGGCCGGGCACGGUGGAUUACGCCUGUAAUCCCAGCACUUUGGGAGGCCGAGGUGGUGGAUCACCUGAGGUCAGGAGUUUGAGACUAGCCUGGCCAACAUGGCAAAACCCUGUCUCUACUAAAAAUACAAAAAUUAGCAGGGUGUGGUGCCGGGUGCCUGUAAUCCCAGCUACUCGGGAGGCUGAAGCAUGAGAAUCAUUUGAACCCAGGAGGCAGAGGUUGCAGUGAACUGAGAUCAUGCCACUGCACUCCAGCCUGGGUGACAGAGAGGGACUCUGUCUCAAAAAAAAAAAAAAAGAAUGUGCAUUAUUGAGAAGCGAAAUAAAAGCAUUGAAUUAGUUUUGUGCAGCAUUUUCCACUGUUCUGGUAAGAAUGAAAUAUGCAAAUUGCAUCAUUUGGAACAAUUUAGCAUACAAAUUAAAUGCUCUUAUAUUUUCGUUUAAAGCUGGCUUUGCACAAUAUAAAGAUGAAUGGUAAGAUUCAUGCUAACAAUUUAAAAUUUUAAUUUUCCUUUACUUAGAGUGGCAUUAAAUAGCGAAUAAGAAUGAUUUUAAAAGCCUUGUGACAAGUCAAAAGAGAGACUGCAGAAGAAAAAAAGCGGCUUUUAUUUUAGUACCUUUCACAGCAGAGGUUGUUUUUGUUCCUGCUUUUGAAAAAGGGCUCCUACAUUUUCGGUUUGCACUGGCAAACCUUUUAAUGAAACAGUAAAGCAAAGUUCCUUACAUUAAAAAGGAGUCAUUUUUAAUCUCCCAGUCUACAUAGACCCAAUUUUCAUUUUAACAAGUUUC
rnacentral:lncRNA from 10 species